GACGUAGGGGGCCAGCGUUGUUCGGAAUUACUGGGGUGUAAAGGGUUCGUAGGCGGUGCGGCAAGUCGGGAGUGAAAUCUCUGGGCUCAACCCAGAGGCUGCUUCCGAAACUGCUGUGCUUGAGUGUGGGAGAGGCGCGUGGAAUUGCAGGUGUAGCGGUGAAAUGCGUAGAUAUCUGCAGGAACACCCGUGGCGAAAGCGGCGCGCUGGACCACUACUGACGCUGAAGAACGAAAGCUAGGGGAGCAAACAGG
rnacentral:rRNA from 1 species